CACAGACCGUAAUACAGCGCAGAUGAACAUGAUUCAGACUACGGCGUUUAUAUGUUCAACAAUAGCAAACGUAGUCUUAGCUGUUUUAAAAUUACACCAAGUUUAUUUCGGAUUAUUCCAACGGAAGAAUACAAGGCGCAGGGAAGUUUGAGGAAUGUUGAAGGGCUGCAGCUCGCAUGCUGCAGCGUGGCGGUUCAUUGAGUUUCUGAUUGACAGCGUGGGAGAGAAGAUGUCGUCUGUCGCCCAGCAGCAGAGAGAACGAACAGACAUUCGUAACUCUGGAGUUGCACUUGACUGCGUCAUUAGAGACGCUCACACGUCCCGAUGAACUUGGGGUUUGAAUUUGCUUUAUUUGUAGAGAAUUUAACUUGUUUGUGCUUUGAGUUGCCUGACAUCAUUUUUUAGAAGCAUUAAUCAAAAUGUUCCAUAUCGGAAACAUGUUCAUUGACUAAAUAUUCUCUUCUUCUUCCGCCUGAUGUCUGAUUACAGGAGGAAGUGAGUCAACAAUUGAAAUCAGGCUUAAAAUGUCGACUGAAACCUUUGUGUGUCAUUUAAUACACAAACGCUCAUUAACUCAAGAUCAUUGUUGUUUCACUUCAUUCAAGUAAACAAGUAAUAAAGAACAUGUGAUUCUCUUUGGUCUGAAGAAAACAAGACGGAUUCAUUUGGUUUUAUUUUUAUUAAAAGUAUUUUCAUUGUUAAAAUAAUAAACAGACGACAUAUUUAACAAUAAUAAUAACACAAUCAUUGGGAAAAUAUCUGAAGCAGUUCCUGAAAAGAGAGAAAAGAAAAGUUAUUAACAUGUUAAUGUUGUUAGUGUGUCUGUGUGUACAUCUAAAUGUUAGUGUGUCUGUGUGUACAUCUAAAUGUUAGUGUGUCUGUGUACGUCUAAAUGUUAGUGUGUCUGUGUGUACAUCUAAAUGUUAGUGUGUCUGUGUGUACAUCUAAAUGUUAGUGUGUCUGUGUGUACAUCUAAAUGUUAGUGUGUCUGUGUACGUCUAAAUGUUAGUGUGUCUGUGUGUACAUCUAAAUAUUAAUGUCUUUGUGUACAUCUAAAUAUUAGUGUGUGUCUUUGUUUAGUACCAAAUGUUAGUGUGUGUCUUUGUGUACAUCUAAGUGUUAGUGUGUGUCUUUGUUUAGAACCAAAUGUUAGUGUGUCUGUGUGAACAUCUAAUUGUUAGUGUGUCCCGAUGACGUAGCGUGCUGAUGGCGUCUUGUUGGUCUGCAGACAAGGAGAAGAGACGUGAGGAGGAUCAUCAGGAUGUGUCCGUGUGUACAUCUAAUUGUUAGUGGGUCUGUGUGUACAUUAAAAUAUUAAAGUGUCUUUGUGCAGAACCAGAUGUUUGUGUGUUUUAGUUUACUUCUGAAUACUAAUGUGUCUUUGUGUACAUCUAAAUAUUAGUGUGUGUCUUUGUUUAGAACCAAAUGAUAGUGUGUCUGUGUGUACAUCUAAUUGUUAGGCGUCCUGAUGGCGUCCCGAUGACGUGGCGUCCUGAUGGCGUCCUGAUGGCGUCCCGAUGACGUGGCGUCCUGAUGGCGUCCCGAUGACGUGGCAUCCUGAUGGCGUCCUGAUGACGUAGCGUCCCGAUGACGUGGCGUCCUGAUGGCGUCCCGAUGACGUGGCGUCCUGAUGGCGUCCCGAUGACGUGGCAUCCUGAUGGCGUCCUGAUGACGUAGCGUCCCGAUGACGUGGCGUCCUGAUGGUGUCCUGAUGACGUAGCGUCCCGAUGACGUGGCGUCCUGAUGGCGUCCCGAUGACGUCCUGUUGGUCUGCAGACAAGGAGAAGAGACGCGUCCUGAUGGCGUCCCGAUGACGUGGCGUCCUGAUGGCGUCCUGUUGGUCUGCAGACAAGGAGAAGAGACGUGAGGAGGAUCAUCAGGAUACUCCUGAGGCCAUGGUUGCUUUCUGCAAGUGUAGGUCCGGAAAACUUCAGUGUGUAGAUGCGAGGUUUGAAACUGACUGACUGGAUGUGCAACAGACUGUGUUCUUAUGCUGUGGUGAACGGAGCAUAGAACAUAGAACAUGGAACAUGGAACAUGGAGAAAUGUUCCAUCAUGAUGUAACGUCUCUAUGGUUACAGUGAAGGUAUCUACAACAUGCAAAUGAGCCUUUAGAGUAAAUGUGUGUGUGUAUUUGUAUUGAUGGAGCUCAUCCACUUGACAUGGUGAAUAAAACACUUUGCUCUACUUGUUUUUU
ensembl:lncRNA